rnacentral:lncRNA from 1 species
CUUAAAGAUGUUUCUACAAUAAGUUUCAGAUUUGAUCUAAUCAAGUCCAACUUUAUGGGUUUAUUAGAUUGUGUCAGUUCUUCUACCGAUCGAACUUUAUCAAGUUCAAUCUUUGAGGCAUUAGUUCCUUCCCCAAGAAACUUCUUUUCUAGAAAGACUGUCCUAUUGCUAACGGUUCACCUUCUUUUCAUUAGCAAGAUAGAAGUAAUACCCCUUGGUCUCUUUUGGAUAUCCUAUAAAUUGACACUUGUCAGUCCUAGGUU